UCUCCUUUCUUUCUCUCUUGCUUUCUUUUUUCCAGUACAUUAGUUUAGUUAGUAGAGAGGGAGCGAGAGAGAGAAGAAUUAACACAGUACCCAACAUUGCAAAACUUUCUCUCCUUUCUUUCUCUCUUGCUUUCUUUUUUUCAGUAUAUUAGUUUAGUUAGCAGAGAGGGAGCGAGAGAGAGAAGAAUUAACACAGUACCCAACAUUGCAAAACUUUCUCUCCUUUCUUUCUCUCUCUUUUUCAGUGUAUCAGUUUACUCUUAAGAUGCACAGGUCUGAGUUACAAGCCCCACGUGUAGUAUCCAGACUUUAUUUUUGAGGUUGAUAUGUGGUACAAACUAUGGUCGUUACACUCGGAGAUGACACGGCAAGGAAACGGAGCAAGAGUAACGACCCCCUGUACGUCCUCUAUGUUACGGUGGACACGGGAAAGGUCGAGGAGGGUGAGGACAUUUCGUAACACAAACUCUGCUGCCCUGAAUCGGAUUUGUCGCAUUACGGUUUGGGUUGUCAUUAGAUUGUCUUCAUCACAUCAACCUGGCUAGCGUGGGGAGGGAAGGAGAGGGGGAGGGAUGCUGUGAAGGGUUAAGCACCACCACAGACACAUGACCCAUAGAAACUCAGGUGUUAGUCUCGCUCCCAGCUUGCAGAGGAAUGACGCUGGUGUGCUGCAAGGGCGCCGUUUUGUGGUUUGGCGUCUUGUAAAUUGGUUCCAUGGCUUCAACUGUGCUUCAAUGACCCUUAGGAAAGCAGGUCAAAUUAUCUUUUUCUUCAUUUAUAGUUGUUCUUUCGACUUGCGAUGAUCAUUCUCCAUCUUGCUCAAUCCUUCCUCUAUUU